rnacentral:rRNA from 1 species
CCACUCUUUGCAGGAGGCAGUUAUGAGACGUGAAGAUGAGUAUCUUGUAAAGAGGGAUAGGAGAAUUGGAGGGCAAGUUUGGUGCCAGCAGCCGCGGUAAUACCGACUCCAAGAGUGUGUAUGAGAGAUGCUGCAGUUAAAAAGUCCGUAGUCAUAGAAGGGCAAAGAGAGAUGCGAGGUCUCACAGUGCGAUGAUGGAGGAGCCGAUGGGGAACAUAGUAUACCAGGGCGAGAGAUGAAAUGCCAAGACCCCUGGUGGACUGAGCGAGGCGAAGGCGAUGUUCUUGUAGGCAUUCGGUGAUCAAGGACGAAGGCUGGAGUAUCGAAAGUGAUUAGAUACCGCAGUAGUUCCAGCAGUAAAAGAUGCCGACAUGCUCAUUGGACACAGUGGGCAGGGAGAAAUCUUAGAGUUCGGGCUCUGGGGAUAGUAUGCUCGCAAGGGUGAAAAUUAAAGAAAUUGACGGAGCUACACCACAAGGAGUGGAUUGUGCGGCUUAAUUUGACUCAACGCGAGGAAACUUACCAGGGCCAAGUAUUGUGUAGAAACGAGCAAUACAGGAGUGGUGCAUGGUCGUUGGAAAUUGAUGGGAUGACUUUGACCUUAAAUGGUUGAAUGAGUGAGAUCUUUUGGACAUGUUCCGCACGGAACAGGAAGGAAAAGGCUAUAACAGAUCCGAGAUGCCCUCAGAUGCCCUGGGCUGCACGCGCAAUACAAUAGCAGGUAGAGAGAGAGACAGGAAGGUGCUCAGAUGGACUAUGUGCUGUAAGGCACAUACGAAAGAGGAAUUCCUAGUAAGUGUGUAUCAACAAUGGAUAU